AUACCUUUCUCGGCCUUUGCUAAGAUCAAGUGUAGUAUCUGUUCUUAUUAGUUUAAUAUCUGAUGCCUAUUGUAAUCAUGGUGUAAUCACUCAUU
rnacentral:snRNA from 1 species